AAAUAAAUUUCUCCCGAGCUACUCUCGCGUGCCCACCUAUCCACUCAUAAUUGCGGUUCCAGUCGAUUCGGGGUCCCGUUGGCGAGCGGCGAGCGGGACGAGCGUAGGCGGCAGCUGCUUCCGUCGGAUUUCCGGCGGUGAGUGGUCGGCGGCAGCUGUGCUUCGGCGUUCAUCGACGACGGAAGGGGCGACAAGCAGCUUACCGCGAGCUCAGUUCUGAUUUUGACGGCGCGGCCGUCCACGGAGGAGCAGACCCGAGCCCUUGAUAUCCACCGGCGGCAGCAGCCGUCUCUCUCUCUCUCCCUCCCUCAGGCCAAGAGCAUACAGGUGAUUCUCUCUCCUCCGGUGAAGAAGCUCGUCCCAGUGGUUAAAUCUCCUCCGGCGAAGCCGACUCUCCCUCCACUUCACUCCGGCCGGCAGCGGCUUCGCACGGCUCGACCGUCGAGGGGCCCUCCUGCACCUGCAGCACGACCUCCGACCCCCUGAGCCGCUGCCCUGCCGCCGACCGCAGGUCCUCAUCUUCCCUUCACCGACUUGUUCGACGAGCUGCACGACCGCCCGCACUCAUCUACUGUUAAGAACACAUUACAGGGUGCUUAUGCUUAUGAUAUAAAUGGGAAAAAGUAUAUAGAUGCUCUUGCGGGACUGUGGUGUGCAGCUCUAGGUGGUAACGAACCUCGACUUGUGAAAGCUGCAACAGACCAAUUAAAGAAAUUAUCCUUCUACCAUUCGUUCUGGAAUCGUACUACCAAACCCUCACUGGAUCUUGCAAAUGAUAUUCUGAACAUGUUCACUGCAAGGGAAAUGGGAAAGGUAUUCUUCACAAAUAGCGGUUCAGAAGCAAAUGACUCUCAGACCACAUGACCAUCAGUGUGUUUCGUGCGAGCUCGAGGAAUAAGUGAACCUUUUCCUCCAGUGAGUUCUUGCUCCAAUGGGUUCGCUGCUGGUGAUAUCUCCUCCACCUCCUGCUCCAGUGAGCUCUUCCCCUGCAUCACCGCCUCUCCGCCAGUAAAACUGCAUGCGCAAUGAAGGUUACAGGCAAAACUCCCGAUAAAGUUAAAAAAAUCAAUAUACAAGGGAGCCAGGAUUCAGCUACAUUUCAUUUUGCUGCUCCUGUACUUGCCGCCUGCCGCCGCAGACGCCACCCGGUGCUUCUAUGGAUAAGUUGAUUAUGUUGAUUUUUCAAGUGGCAGGGUACAACGUUCUUCCUGACUCUUUGAGUGGGUAGUAAGAUUGUUUGAGCAAAUAGUAAGUGAUGUCUUCAGCAAUACUUGAGGAAGGAGGCCUAGUGCGAGACAGCUAAAUGGAUGGCGGCCGGUGGGCGAAUGCAAAUUUUGGAAAGCCCGUAGAUGCUUUGUGCUUCAGCUUCUCUUUCCAGAGCUCUGUCUUCAGCUUUGUGCUUCGGCCGUCCACUCGUCUAUCAACCAACAGUGGGAUGAUGCCAUCAGUUACGCUCUGCAACGAAAUGAGCACGGGGGCCAUAUGCGAGGUGUCGGUUCCGGGCCCUUUCGCAGGCAGAUGGCAAAAGAGGAAGGUUUCUGCAAACGCAGAAAGGCGUCCAGCAAAAAACAGAGCUCAGAGAAACUAGAUGAGAAGAUCCGGGUGUUGGCGAGGGAGGAGCUUAGGAAGCUCAUGCGGCUUGCAAGGGACCAGCAUGACGUCGACAACUUCAUCGAUCACGGUGUUUUCCCGGAGGCGCCCAUCCAACCAACCCCACCCGCAUCGGAUCCAUCCCCGCUGCAGAAUAAGAGCACCUCAUGCUCCGGCACCGAGUGCCAGCUUGACCUGCUUGGGGCACCCGACAAGAACCUCACGAAGGGCGUCAAAUGCCGGCUACACAUCCCGACGGUGGGGAACCCUCUAGGCGCGCGCGGG